AUUUAACUAUUUGAUCAUUAAAUUUGUUGAUUUGACUAAAUUGGUGACCUUUUAAUUUUAGGGCUUGUUUGGUUCAUCCAUUUUGGGUAUGGAAUGAGAAUCGGUUUGAUCAAAUCCGGUUAAUUUUGUUUGGUUCGCAUGAAUCGAUUUGAGAUUCUUAUUUCGAACUGGAAUGGGAAUGACCCAUUAGCCUUCAACUUGAUUCCGGUCUUCUAGUCCGGAUUGAGAUUUCAUUUCGGAAGCACACUAAGUUCUCGAAACCCAUGUGACCAUCUCACCCUCCUUCUCUUCAUCCCUUUCUCAUCAAAAAAAAAAAAAAUCUAUCAUCUCUCAAAACCCUAUCCCUAACCUACAUCAAUAAAAAUUUUUAAAAAUAAAUUUGAUAUUUUUUUUUGGAAAACUUAUGAGAGAAUAGUAUUAUAUUUUUCAUAAAUUUUAAAUAAUAUAAAUUUAUAUUUGAGAGUAAAAUUAGUAUUAUAGUAUCCUAUAAUUUUUUUAAUUUAUACGAACCAAACAAUGAAAUGUGAAUAAUUCAUUCCAAUUUCCAAUCCACAAAUAAACCAAACGUUUUGGGGGAGUGGGCCAUUCCAAUUACCAUUCCAAU
rnacentral:lncRNA from 1 species